AUUGAACGCUGGCGGCAGGCCUAACACAUGCAAGUCGAACGAGUGGCGGACGGGUGAGUAAUGUCUGGGAAACUGCCUGAUGGAGGGGGAUAACUACUGGAAACGGUAGCUAAUACCGCAUACCAUCAGAUGUGCCCAGAUGGGAUUAGCUAGUUGGUGGGGUAACGGCUCACCAAGGCGACGAUCCCUAGCUGGUCUGAGAGGAUGACCAGCCAACCUGGUACUGAGACACGGUCCAGACUCCUACGGUAGGCAGAAGUGGGGAAUAUUGAACAAUGGGCGCAAGCCUGAUGCAGCCAUGCGGCGUGUAUGAAGAAGGCCUUCGGGUGGGAAAGUACUUUCAGCGGGGAGGCGUUACCCGCAGAAGAAGCACCGGCUAACUCCGUGCCAGCAGCCGCGGUAAUUC
rnacentral:rRNA from 1 species